UUCCAUUUUAUUAUGAUCACGAGCACGUGACUGCAGUCAGACAGGCUUCUGAAAUUGACUCAUAAAUCGAAUAUAAACAAGUAGGAAAACUGGACUAGAGACUGCCCUGAACCAAAUUUCGAUAUAUUUAAAAACAUAAAUUUAAAAAAAAAAACUCAUUUACUUAUGUAGUGUCAAAUAUAAUAAAGCCACAAGCUGUAACUAUAAACUGCUUCAAAACUCCUAGCACUAAUACAUUCUUCUUCAUUUGAAAAAUUGAAAUCUGCUCACGACAAGCACCCACCAGGUUUGGAUCUAAGAAACAUUAGUCGAAGCUUUGCCGACAGAGUGCAAGGGAUGGCAAAAAAAAUACCUCGAGAGAGUCGGAUCUAGCCCCCAUGACCUAGACCCAGAAAACCUAUUGAGCUGGAUAUCGACUCUCUAUAUUCUGCGCCGCUCUCACAUAACCUUAACGAAAAUAGUUAAUUAAUUUCAUAUAAUUUAAGACACCAAUCUGCAAAUAUUUCAUAAGAUACACAUAUAAGUAUAUUAUUAAAAAACAUGUUAUAUAUAAAAUCUUUGCAAUCGCACAUGUCAUUUGAAAUUUCCAGGUUAAAAAAAUGUUCUAUCGCUUCGUAGUCAAAUUAUCGAUUAUUAUUAUCGAUAAUAAAGAAAUGGGAGUUAUUGUUCUAGUUAAAAGAAAAUUGACUUCACUGCUACAGUGACAUUUAGCAUAUCUAAGUAUUUUACAAUAUUAGAGACGCAUGUCAUAUGGGAAUAAUGCUUGGCAGUCAAAUUAAUGCGAUGUUCCACAUGAUUUAGUUUCAGUACAAUUUACUAUUAUAAUUCGAUUAGGGCGUGUCGGAGAGGAUGUCAAGCAAAUUUAUUUCGUGAAUUCGAUAUACCAGUUAUACGCUUAUAUGAUUUAUUCGUUGCAGUUAUGCUUUCAAAUAUGUAUAAAAGGGAAAGCCAAACCCCGAAUUCUAUCAUCGUUUUUGAACGGAAGCUACAAUCAACAUGAAAGUGAUACUGUUCACUGCUGUGCUCGCUGUCUUGGCGUCCAACUGCUUUGCUCAAGAUGGAGCUACUCCAACUCCGCCACCUGAAGUUCCAGCAACUGUAUCCCUACCUAAGCUAAAGCUGCUUCUUGAAAUAUAAAGUUGAUUCAAAUAUUCAUUCAUAA